UACGUAGGAGGCGAGCGUUGUCCGGAGUUACUGGGCGUAAAGCGCGCGUAGGCGGCUUUGUAAGUUAGAGGUGAAAGCCCGGGGCUCAACCCCGGAACUGCCUUUAAGACUGCAUCGCUUGAAUCCAGGAGAGGUGAGUGGAAUUCCGAGUGUAGAGGUGAAAUUCGUAGAUAUUCGGAAGAACACCAGUGGCGAAGGCGGCUCACUGGACUGGUAUUGACGCUGAUGUGCGAAAGCGUGGGGAGCAAACAGG
rnacentral:rRNA from 1 species